rnacentral:rRNA from 1 species
GACGAACGCUGGCGGCGUGCCUAAUACAUGCAAGUCGAACGAGAGCGACCGGUGCUUGCACUGGUCAAUCUAGUGGCGAACGGGUGAGUAACACGUGGGUAACCUGCCCAUCAGAGGGGGAUAACAUUCGGAAACGGAUGCUAAAACCGCAUAGGUUCUACAGUCGCAUGACUGAAGAAGGAAAAGAGGCUUCGGCUUCUGCUGAUGGAUGGACCCGCGGUGCAUUAGCUAGUUGGUGAGGUAACGGCUCACCAAGGCCGUGAUGCAUAGCCGACCUGAGAGGGUGAUCGGCCACAUUGGGACUGAGACACGGCCCAAACUCCUACGGGAGGCAGCAGUAGGGAAUCUUCCGCAAUGGACGCAAGUCUGACGGAGCAACGCCGCGUGAGUGAAGAAGGAUUUCGGUUCGUAAAACUCUGUUGUUAGAGAAGAACAGCGCAUAGAGUAACUGUUAUGCG